ensembl:lncRNA
GUUUUGUCAACAGCGAUGAUGAAGUGAUGAAGCCUUUUGGAGCACAACUGACACCGACUGGGAAUCCCGAUCGGUGAAGCCGUUUGUUUAGUGGGAGCGGAGCGUUGUGUCGAGGCGCAGAUCGUUGCACUAAGUACACCCGCACCUUCAGAAUUAUUUUCCGACUUGUUGAGACGGUGAGUCAACACACUGUCAUUACAUGCAAAGUGUCCUUUUUAAAAAACCUCUCUCGGGAAGUACAAGUAGAUAUGCAGCAAGCAGCCGACAGCUCCGGUUUCCAGUAAUGUGUUGACGAACAUAACUAUGCCACAGCUACUCAACCUGUGUGUGUGUGUGUGUGUGUGUGUGUGUGUGUGUGUGUGUGUGUGUGUGUGUGGCUCUGAGGUGAGCUUUGUAGCCUUUCCACCAUGUGCUUCCUGUUUGUUGCACCUUCUUCGGUCCGACCAACCCCUGCUUGUCCCAGGCGCGUUUCUCAUUCACAGGCGCACGCACAAACAAGUCACACAAAAUAAAUGAUCCUUCACACAGAAAAACCACAGACGGCACAUUUUCCACUAGUUGAAGGAACUUUGUGAUGCUGUUUCCCAGAAGCUGCUUUUCCCUUCUGUCAUGCUGUGCAUGACGUCCUCUUGCGCGGUUUGGUGUGUUGUAAGCAUGUAUGUCUGCACGGCCCCAUGUGUGUUUUAUGUGUUUAUUUAUGCAGGUUUUGUUUGUUACAUGAGAUUGCGUGUGUGUGUCUUCGAGCUCUUCAAGCAUGUGCAACAAGUAAUUCAGGUGUUUGAAUAUCCUGUAAAAAUAAAGUGCUCCAUAAGGUUCAAGUGCUCACACAAACACACACGCAUGCCUCGCAGACACGGCACAGAAUGACUCAAAUUAAAGUGACUUCGUCCCUGCAGGUCUUUUGUUGUUGUUGUUGUUGUUUUCCUGUGUCUCUCUAAUCAUUUUGCCCUUUUCUCUUACAGUAUCAGACCAAAAGUAAAUUUACAAACCUCACCUGUGCUCGUCUCCAUCCUUCAUCAUGUGCAAAACAGCGUUAUUUUGCCAUCUAAACGGUUGUUUUAUAUUGUCAGUUGAAAAAACCAGCAAUGAAGUAUUUCACCGGGAUUUGCAGUUUUUCUUGCUCCUAGAAGCGUAAAAUGAAGAAGCUUCCCAAACACACGGGAAGACACACACACCUCACUCCUCGACUUGCACUUAAAGUUAAUCUUUUAUUUAAUGGAACAGUUUGGAUCUGAAAAUGUCAUUUUAUUGGACUAUUUUAAAUGUGCAAGUGAAGACCGACCAGUACAACUGUCCAUUUUCUCCUUAUGUCUGCAGAUUCCUCACAUAAGGUCUCUUUCCAUUAUUCAAAAGGGAUAUCUAAUAUUCAUACCUAAAUGAAAGCUGCUCUAUAAUGUAGUGUGAAAUAAGAAGUGGAAGAUGGGAGCAAGGGACAAGGAGGAAGGAUGGGACUAGAGGUCAGAGACAUUGUGUGUGUGUGUGUGUGU